rnacentral:rRNA from 1 species
GAGUUUGAUCCUGGCCAGGACGAACGCUGGCGGCGUGCUUAACACAUGCAAGUCGAGCGGUAAGGCCCUUCGGGGUACACGAGCGGCGAACGGGUGAGUAACACGUGGGUAACCUGCCCUGUACUCUGGGAUAAGCCUUGGAAACGAGGUCUAAUACCGGAUACGACACUGAAUCGCAUGAUUUGGUGUGGAAAGUUCCGGCGGUAUGGGAUGGACCCGCGGCCUAUCAGCUUGUUGGUGGGGUAAUGGCCUACCAAGGCGACGACGGGUAGCCGGCCUGAGAGGGUGACCGGCCACACUGGGACUGAGACACGGCCCAGACUCCUACGGGAGGCAGCAGUGGGGAAUAUUGCACAAUGGGCGAAAGCCUGAUGCAGCGACGCCGCGUGAGGGAUGACGGCCUUCGGGUUGUAAACCUCUUUCAGCAGGGACGAAGGGCAAGUGACGGUACCUGCAGAAGAAGCACCGGCUGACUACGUGCCAGCAGCGCGGUGA